rnacentral:sRNA from 1 species
GCAGUCUCUUCCGACAGUUGUGUUGUGCCAAUGGUGGAGAAGAAAACUUCGGGCUGGAGUGCAGUGGCAUAGUCAUAGCUCACUGCAGCCUCGAAUUCCUGGGAUCAAACCGUCCUCCCACCUCAGCCUCCCGAGUAGCUGGAACUGCAGGCAUGAGGCCCCACGCCUGGCUAAUUUUUAAUUUGUUAUGUGGUGACGGGCUCUCUCUAAGUUGCCCAGUUCGCUCCCAGGACCCCGGGCAGCGGCGGGUGCUGGACCGGGCCGCCCGGCAGCGUCGCAUCAACCGGCAGCUGGAGGCCCUGGAGAAUGACAACUUCCAGGAUGACCCCCACGCGGGACUCCCUCAGCUCGGCAAGAGACUGCCUCAGUUUGAUGAUGACGCGGACACUGGAAAGAAAAAGAAGAAAACUCGAGGUGAUCAUUUUAAACUUCGCUUCCGAAAAAACUUUCAGGCCCUGUUGGAGGAGCAGAACUUGAGUGUGGCCGAGGGCCCCAACUACCUGACAGCCUGUGCGGGGCCCCCAUCGCGGCCCCAGCGCCCCUUCUGUGCUGUGUGUGGCUUCCCUUCCCC